ACAUAUAAAGAACUCUUAACAAGAAGUAUAAAAAUCUCCUCGGUGCCAACCAGACGAGGCUCAUACAGAAGGAGGGGCCACAGCCACGGCUGGGGCAUAGGGACAUAGUCUGCCCCAGGGCUGUACUACUGCCCUAGGGCUGUGAACCUGCUUGUGGCUGUGCAUCUCUACGACCUGAGAAGCGCUGGAGCCAAGGAUUACUGCUCCAGCGUGAGCCUUAGCUUGAUGUUCAUGGCUGCCAGCUCUGCCAAGAAGUACCGGAAGACGUGGGGCACUGGGAUGACCUGGAUGGUGUCCAUCCUGCCACAGAGCAUGCAGGAAUACCUCCUGUUGCUUGCCACGGAGGAAGGCGGUGGGCGCUGGAGCAGAGGAGAUAACAUGCUGCCGCAGCUUGUGCAAACAUAGGCUUCAGAGCCAUCAGAGCAGCUGAACAGGCGGUCGUGCAGCAGGAAGGAGGUGCCAUGAGCCAACAACGCAUCACGCUCCAUCUCGCCAAAGCGAAUCCCCCCUUCCACAUUCCUCCCCUUGACAGGCUGGUUAGUGACAGAAUCCCGGGGUCCUGUUGUCCUCACCUGGAACUUGUCGGAGACCAUGUGGCGCAGGCGCUGGUAGUACACGACUCCCACAAAGAUGUCUGCCUCCAGCUCCACGCCACUGAUUCCACUGUACAUCUUUUCGGUCCCAAAGAAGUUAUAGCCCGCGCUCACCAGAGUCUCACCAAAGUACUUCAAGGCAGAGUUUUUCUCUGUGAAGGUGAAGGGAGUGGCAUCGUAGUAGGCGCCGUGCAGUGCUGCUGACUUCCCCGCCAUGCUCUCAAUUAACAUCCCGAUGGUCAUACGGGAGGGGAACCCAUGGGGGUUGAAGAGGAUGUCUGGAACCAUCCCAUUCUCCGUGAACGGCAUGUCUUCAACAGGCCAGAGCUGGCUCAGGAUGCCCUUCUGCCCAUGGCGGCUGGCAAAUUUGUCUCCAACAGUUGGGUUUCGAGGAACUCUCACGGUGAUGCAAGCCUUCUUGAAUUUCCCAGUGCCACGGUCAUUACUGCACAGCUUGAUGUUGUCUACAAUGCCAACUUCUUUAUUCCUGUGUAGGCAGAAAAACAUUCACAGCAAAGGUAUCAGAUAUGCUCAUGACUUUGAAAUGAAGCAAAGAAACCAACCCACUUUUAAGUCCAAUAAAGAGCUCCACAUUUUUUGAAGAAUAUCGUUCAGGGAAAUCAGACUGCAUAAGAAUUAGAGCACAGCAGCCAAACAAAGGUAGCAAACAAAGGUAUGCCAUUUGUUUGCUGUUUCUAAUGCUAGCAGCACAACUGCAACUUCCCUAUGAUGAGGUAAUGUGUCGUCCAUAUAAUAAAGUCAAAAUUAUUUAAA